AAAUCUCAUACGGUAAUUUGGA
rnacentral:miRNA from 2 species